rnacentral:rRNA from 1 species
CUACGGGUCGCUCCAGUGAGGAAUAUUGCACAAUGGGGGGAACCCUGAUGCAGCAACGCCGCGUGGAGGAUGACGCAUUUCGGUGUGUAAACUCCUUUUAUAUGUCAAGAAAAUGACGGUAGCAUAUGAAUAAGCACCGGCUAACUCCGUGCCAGCAGCCGCGGUAAUACGGAGGGUGCAAGGUUACUCGGAAUCACUGGGCGUAAAGGACGCGUAGGCGGGUUGGAAAGUCAGGUGUGAAAUCCUACAGCUUAACUGUAGAACUGCACUUGAAACCUCUAAUCUAGAGUAUGGGAGGGGGAGAUGGAAUUAGUGGUGUAGGGGUAAAAUCCGUAGAUAUCACUAGGAAUACCUAAAGCGAAGGCGAUCUCCUGGAACAUUACUGACGCUAAGGCGUGAAAGCGUGGGGAGCAAACAGGAUUAGAUACCCUGGUAGUC